rnacentral:rRNA from 1 species
GCCAGCCGCCGCGGUAAUUCCAGCUCCAAUAGCGUAUAUUAAAGUUGUUGUGGUUAAAAAGCUCGUAGUUGGAUCUCGGCGGUCUGAGGGCGGUUCGCUUGAUUGAGUGCUACUGCUCUAUAGGCCGUGGUUUUGCCAGAGGUCUCGGGGUGCUCUUAACCGAGUGUCCUGCGAUGCUGGCAGGUUUACUUUGAAAAAAUUAGAGUGCUCAAAGCAGGCUUUUACGCCUGAAUAUUCGUGCAUGGAAUAAUAGAAUAGGAAGUCGUUUCUAUUUUGUUGGUUUUCGGAAAUCGACUUAAUGAUUAAUAGGGACAGUCGGGGGCAUUUGUAUUCAAACGACAGAGGUGAAAUUCUUGGACCGUUUGAAGACAAACUACUGCGAAAGCAUUUGCCAAGAAUGUUUUCAUUAAUCAAGAACGAAAGUUAGAGGUUCGAAGGCGAAUAGAUACCGCCCUAGUUCUAACCAUAAACGAUGCCAGCUAGCGAUCUGCCGACGUUUUCUUUGUAGACUCGGCAGGAAGCUUCCGGGAAACCAAAGCAUUUGGGUUCCAGGGGAAGUAUGGUUGCAAAGCUGAAACUUAAAGGAAUUGACGGAAGGGCACCACCAGGAGUGGAGCCUGUGGCUUAAUUUGACUCAACACGGGAAAUCUCACCAGGCCCGGACACUGGAAGGAUUGACAGAUUGAUAGCUCUUUCUUGAUUCGUGGGGUGGUGGUGCAUGGCCGUUCUUAGUUGGGUGGAAGUGAUUUGUCUGGUUAAUUCCGAAUAACGAACGA